CCUACGGGGGGCUGCAGUGAGGAAUAUUGGUCAAUGGGCGCGAGCCUGAACCAGCCAAGUAGCGUGAAGGAUGACUGCCCUACGGGUUGUAAACUUCUUUUAUAAAGGAAUAAAGUGAGGCACGUGUGCCUUUUUGUAUGUACUUUAUGAAUAAGGAUCGGCUAACUCCGUGCCAGCAGCCGCGGUAAUACGGAGGAUCCGAGCGUUAUCCGGAUUUAUUGGGUUUAAAGGGAGCGUAGAUGGGUUGUUAAGUCAGUUGUGAAAGUUUGCGGCUCAACCGUAAAAUUGCAAUUGAUACUGGCAGUCUUGAGGGCAGGAGAGGAAAGUGGAAUUCCUAGUGUAGCGGUGAAAUGCUUAGAUAUCACGGAGAACCCCGAUUGCGAAGGCAGCUUACUAAACUGUGACUGACAUUGAUGCUCGAAAGUGUGGGUAUCAAACAGGAUUAGAUACCCCUGUAGUC
rnacentral:rRNA from 1 species